AUGCACGCAAGUGCGAUGGGGGGACUCCGAGUGCAGUCUUCCAAAACGGAAGGCCGCUUUUCUGCACUUUAAGCAGGUGCCGAAACAAGGGGUGGGCAAGACGGCUGCCAGCCGCCGCGGUAAUAGCCGCACCCCGAGUGGUAGUCAUUGUUAUUGGGCUUAAAGUGUUCGUAGCCGGACACACAAGUCUGCUGUGAAAUCCAUGCGCUUAACGUAUGGACAUGCAGCGGAUACUGUGUGUCUAGGAACCGGACGGCGUCGAGGCUAUUCCCGGGGUAGGGGUGAAAUCCUAAAAUCCUGGGAGGAGCACCUGUGGCGAAAGCGCUCGACGAGUACGGAUUCGACGGUGAGGAACGAAAGCCAGUGGAGCAAAGCGGAUUAGAUACCCGCGUAGUACUGGCUGUAAACAUUGUGCGUUUGAUGUCGGACAACCUCCGAGGUUGUCCGGUGCCGAAGUGAAAACGUUAAACGCACCGCCUGGGGAGUACGGUCGCAAGG
rnacentral:rRNA from 1 species